rnacentral:rRNA from 1 species
GACGUAGGGCGCGAGCGUUGUCCGGAUUUAUUGGGCGUAAAGAGCUCGUAGGCGGUCUGUCACGUCGGCUGUGAAAACCCGAGGCUCAACCUCGGGCCUGCAGUCGAUACGGGCAGACUAGACGUUCGGUAGGGGAGACUGGAAUUCCUGGUGUAGCGGUGAAAUGCGCAGAUAUCAGGAGGAACACCGGUGGCGAAGGCGGUUCUCUGGGCAUUACCUGACGCUGAGGAGCGAAAGU